rnacentral:miRNA from 1 species
AACAGCAAAGCGGGAGAAGAGCCGCUGAGUGGGGAGGACAGAGGGACAGAGAGCCUGAUUCUUUAAAGGGGCAAAGCGGGAGAGGAGAGGAGCCGCUUACACAAGUGUAAGUGGCUCCUGUCCGGUUGGUUCCUUUAAAGCAAGCAGGCUCUCUGUCCCUCUCUCCUCCCCACUCAGAGGCUCUUCUCCCGCUUUGCUGG